rnacentral:rRNA from 1 species
CUGGCUCAGGACGAACGCUGGCGGCGUGCCUAAUACAUGCAAGUAGAACGCUGAAGAGAGGAGCUUGCUCUUCUUGGAUGAGUUGCGAACGGGUGAGUAACGCGUAGGUAACCUGCCUUGUAGCGGGGGAUAACUAUUGGAAACGAUAGCUAAUACCGCAUAACAAUGGAUGACACAUGUCAUUUAUUUGAAAGGGGCAAUUGCUCCACUACAAGAUGGACCUGCGUUGUAUUAGCUAGUAGGUGAGGUAAUGGCUCACCUAGGCGACGAUACAUAGCCGACCUGAGAGGGUGAUCGGCCACACUGGGACUGAGACACGGCCCAGACUCCUACGGGAGGCAGCAGUAGGGAAUCUUCGGCAAUGGGGGCAACCCUGACCGAGCAACGCCGCGUGAGUGAAGAAGGUUUUCGGAUCGUAAAGCUCUGUUGUAAGUCAAGAACGGGUGUGAGAGUGGAAAGUUCACACUGUGACGGUAGCUUACCAGAAAGGGACGGCUAACUACGUGCCAGCAGCCGCGGUAAUACGUAGGUCCCGAGCGUUGUCCGGAUUUAUUGGGCGUAAAGCGAGCGCAGGCGGUUUGAUAAGUCUGAAGUUAAAGGCUGUGGCUCAACCAUAGUUCGCUUUGGAAACUGUCAAACUUGAGUGCAGAAGGGGAGAGUGGAAUUCCAUGUGUAGCGGUGAAAUGCGUAGAUAUAUGGAGGAACACCGGUGGCGAAAGCGGCUCUCUGGUCUGUAACUGACGCUGAGGCUCGAAAGCGUGGGGAGCGAACAGGAUUAGAUACCCUGGUAGUCCACGCCGUAAACGAUGAGUGCUAGGUGUUGGAUCCUUUCCGGGAUUCAGUGCCGCAGCUAACGCAUUAAGCACUCCGCCUGGGGAGUACGACCGCAAGGUUGAAACUCAAAGGAAUUGACGGGGGCCCGCACAAGCGGUGGAGCAUGUGGUUUAAUUCGAAGCAACGCGAAGAACCUUACCAGGUCUUGACAUCCCGAUGCUAUUUCUAGAGAUAGAAAGUUACUUCGGUACAUCGGUGACAGGUGGUGCAUGGUUGUCGUCAGCUCGUGUCGUGAGAUGUUGGGUUAAGUCCCGCAACGAGCGCAACCCCUAUUGUUAGUUGCCAUCAUUCAGUUGGGCACUCUAGCGAGACUGCCGGUAAUAAACCGGAGGAAGGUGGGGAUGACGUCAAAUCAUCAUGCCCCUUAUGACCUGGGCUACACACGUGCUACAAUGGUUGGUACAACGAGUUGCGAGUCGGUGACGGCGAGCUAAUCUCUUAAAGCCAAUCUCAGUUCGGAUUGUAGGCUGCAACUCGCCUACAUGAAGUCGGAAUCGCUAGUAAUCGCGGAUCAGCACGCCGCGGUGAAUACGUUCCCGGGCCUUGUACACACCGCCCGUCACACCACGAGAGUUUGUAACACCCGAAGUCGGUGAGGUAACCUUUUGGAGCCAGCCGCCUAAGGUGGGACAGAUGAUUGGGGUGAAGUCGUA